GACCUGGUGGUGAAAUGUAUCAUGCCCACUCUGCUUAUGCUUGUAGGACAUGUAUUUGUGGGGAUCCCCGGUUCGAGUCCGGGUCAGGUCA